UACGGAGGGUGCAAGCGUUAUCCGGAUUCACUGGGUUUAAAGGGUGCGUAGGAGGGCAGGUAAGUCAGUGGUGAAAUCUCCGAGCUUAACUUGGAAACUGCCGUUGAUACUAUCUGUCUUGAAUAUCGUGGAGAUGAGCGGAAUAUGUCAUGUAGCGGUGAAAUGCUUAGAUAUGACAUAGAACACCAAUUGCGAAGGCAGCUCGUUACACGAAUAUUAACUCUGAGGCACGAAAGCAUGGGGAGCAAACAGG
rnacentral:misc_RNA from 1 species